GUUUUCCGCCAUUGGGUGGUUAGUUUUUAAUGUACCUGCUGUCAACUAAAGAGCGACAGACCAUUUGGAUUGACCACAUUGAGUCUAGAGAAAGAUUCCGCCUAAGAAGAAACACACAAGAUGUGAGCCUGCCGGCCAAGACUAGAUAGCGUGGCUGACCGAUAAGAAAGGAUCGAGGUACACCUCCAGAAGCCAGAAAGGCUGAAGGUGAUCCGACUGCUACUUCCAAUGGUGAUUGAGGUAUGUCUGCAUUGAACCUAACUGCUGCACACAACUUUUCCAGAGUCUGAUAUUGUCCGCACCCCUCAUCUUUCCUUUUCAUCCCCUGAGCAUGGAGAAGAAGGAGCAGCCAUCUUAGGAGAGAGCUGAGAGCUGAGGAACUGUGUGUGAGCAGAGAAGCUAAUGGAUCCAGGAGUGAGAGGACCUCCUUUGUGACCACAGCUGCAGCUGAGUGAAGCUGAUCGUUGUCCAAGACCCAGAUCCUGUCCAGGGAAAGAAGGAUUGUUUCCAGGAAGGCUGACAAGAGCAUACCCUGUGGGAACUCAUUUUUGCUGGAGAGACUGGUUGUUCGUUUCAGAGACAUCAGUGGAUAAAGAGCAGACCUGGAAUUUAAAUUAAGAAACCUUGGUAAACCACAAGCACAUACCGCCCCCAACUGGAAACAAGCUUGUACUGCAGCCCAUCAAUGGCAUAAGCUGAAGACAAGAAUUGCUUUGAAAGAUUCCUUCUAGAAGUUACUUAGGGGACUACAACGGGCAGUGGUCUCUCCAACAACAGAUGGUGCACCAGAAGUGUAAGGACGAAUAAUGUCUAUCAUGGGAUUCCAAGCUGCAUAUUUAUACUAUAAGACCAAAUGUCAUCGGUAAAAACACAAACUACAAGAAAUGGCCACAGCACUUUUCUUCCUGAUGCAGCCACUGUCCCCUUUUUUUUUUUUUUUUUUUUACUCCCUGUUUUCCAAGAGCCAGAACUUUUUUGUGUAAGAAGGCUGUUUUUUAUGGGACAAGUUGUACUUUCUAAUGGCACCAUAAAGCCGACUCCAUCUUUGAAGACCAUCUGCUGUACAUGAAUGGUGUAGGUUGGGAAGGGGUUGAAGGGAAUCUGACAGCAGCUUUAUACUGUCCUAUCUGAAGGCAUUAUAAACUGAUGAUAGAGACUCUGAUUAAAGUGCCAGGUAACCCCCUUUUUUUGGCCCAGUAGUCCCUAGUGGUGAACUGAGGUGAGUGUAUGCCAAUGUGGAGACCUGAUAUUCAUGAGCUGUGACUACCCCGUGCAGUCCUGUGGAUGAUUGACAGUGUUCUUCUUUUACGUUGUAUAAGAAGAAAGCUGCUGCGCUUUGGCAUGGGUUAGGGUUAAAGUUGGGGGCAAGAAUGCUGGGACUCCCAAGCUUGUGCAGUGUAUUGAGUGGACUCUAGCACUCUCCUCAUGCUGAUGCUGCUCAAUAAUAAUUUUAGGCAAAUUUCUCAAAAACUGUUUUCCCAUCUGGGUGCUGUCCAAGUUUAUAGGCAGCACCCGUUCUUAUGAAGGGCACAUUAAAGUCAAUUGACCAGUUCAUGUAAUUAUUUUUGCUGUCUGUCCACAGUGGGAUACUAAGGGUGCGGUCCGACCCGGGUGACAGCUGUCAGGGGAGUACCAGUGGCUAUGAGCAAUUCCAUCAAUACAGAUGGAAGCACUCAUUGCUAGAACGCUGGAGAUCGGUCGGUCCUUUCACUCACUGACUGCUCAGCCCCCCACACUCCUUCUCUCCUUCAGGCGCUGCACAGCGGUGACAUCAUGAUGUGUGCGUCAUUGCUGCACCAGGCCACCAGCUCACCAGGACCACCAGCUCACCAGAGCUCCAGCAAAGAAAUGUAUGUGAGGGGCCACUGGGGGUCAUUAUACUGUAUAGGGGAAAGGCACCACUGGGGUCUCUAUACUGUGUGUGGGGAGCUACAGGGGUACAUUAUACUGUGUGUGGCCACAGGGGGACAUCAUAUUAGGUGGGGGCCACAGGGGAACAUAAUACUAUAUGUAGGGGCACAAUGGGACAUUAUAGUAUGUGUGGGGUGUGACACAGUGAGAGGUUUGGUCCGGACCGGAUUUUAAAUGCCAGUCCGGGCUUUAGCAGCACCUGGCUGUCCUUAAAUAGGCAGCUGGGCUCAGA